GGUCAGCUGACACAUCCCUGCCAAUCUCCAGCAGACCCUCCCUCCCAGACCCUCCCACCUCCUGGACAGCAUCCAUGUUGAAGCUGCCUUCAACAUGGAUGCUGUCCAGGAAGUAGGAGGGUCUGGGAGGGAGGGUCUGCCGGAGAUUGGCAGGGAUGUGUCAGCUG